UUGUUUUGUUUUCAUUCGCUUCCUGCCCGAGUUCUACUUUCUCUUUGAGGAUGUCCUUGAUUUAACCCAGGUGUCUUUGAUUUAGAUUAAUUAUGUUGGGUAUUUAAACCCCUCGGGUCUAUGCGCACGUCGCGUGAUAUUUGUAGUUGAGGUGCCUGUUAUACCGUGUUUGCUGGUUCGUUUCAUUGAUUUAUUAAUAAAGACAGUGCUCCUGCACUUACUUCCUGUUUAUCCCUCUGUUCCGUCACACUAGCGAUAAAGACUAAGGUAGAUGCCGCUCCAUCAGAAUUUGAGAGUUAUUGUUUUUGCGUGAAGAACGUGGAGGAGCUCCAGAGAGAGGUCACGUCAUCCUGCUCCAUCUCCUCAUCCUCAGAGCAUACUUCUCCCUCCUCACAUAGUGCAUGUAACAUCAGCACGACGUACGGGGUUCACCGAAACGGGACUAUUGUGACACGGGUGGAAUCCAAUGAGGUUUUCUACUGUUCUCAAGGUUUGGCAUGCUGUGUAUCCUGAGAUGCUUUUCUGCUCACCAUGUAUGUAAAGAGAGGUGAUUUGACGUUACCAUGGCCGUCCUAUUAACUUGACCCAGUCUGGCCAUUCUCCUUUCGUCAACAAGGUGUUUCCACCCCGAGAACUGCCACUUACCGGAAGUUUUUCACACAAGUAUGUGUGUGUGGAAAUCCUAGGAGAGCCGCAGUUUCUGGGAUACUCAAACCAGACCAUUUAGAAUCUACAACCAUGCCACAGAUAAAAUCACUGGAUUACAUUCUGGUGUUUGAUGUGAAUAUUGACUGAAGCUCUUCAUCUGAUCCUGCUUGAUCUUGUACAUUGUGGUGUUGCCAUAUGAUUGGCUGAUUGGAUAAUUGUAUGAAUGAGCACAUGUACAAGUGAUCAGUGAGCACAUCUAUCUACCAUAGAGGUAUUUUGGGGCAAUACUUGACAAUGUACCUGACUUUGUUAGAUUUGUGGCCAAGUUGAAGCUUUUGACAUCCCAAUGGAAAAAAAUAAAACAAUCCAAGACAAAUUCACUUUCAGUCUUUU